GACGAAGGUGGCGAGCGUUGUUCGGAAUCACUGGGCUUAAAGCGCAUGUAGGCGGCCUGUCAAGUGUCUUGUGAAAUCCCCCGGCUCAAUCGGGGAAUUGCUGGGCGAACUGAUGGGCUUGAGGCAGGUAGGGGCGAGUGGAACUCUUGGUGGAGCGGUUGAAUGCGUAGAUAUCAAGAGGAGCGCCGGAGGUGAAGACGACUCGCUGGGCCUGUCCUGACGCUGAGAUGCGAAAGCCAGGGGAGCAAACGCG
rnacentral:rRNA from 1 species